GAUGAACGCUGGCGGCGUGCCUAAUACAUGCAAGUCGAGCGGACAGACCCGGCGCUUGCUCCUCUGACGUUAGCGGCGGACGGGUGUGUAACACGUGGAUCCCGCACCUAUCUGACUGGGAUCAUUUCGGGAAUCCGGCUCUAAUACCGUAUAAUCUAUUGAACCGCGUGGUUCGUUAGUGAGAGUCGGCUGUUCUGUAUCUACUCGCUGCAUCUGAGCCGCAUUGGCUGGUUGGUGGGGUCACGGCUUACCAAGGCAAGGAUGCGUAACCGAGCUGAGAGGGGGGUCGGCCACACUGGAACUGGGACAGGGUCCAGAGUCCUACGGGAGGCAGCAGAAGGGAAUCGGCGGCAAUGGGCGAAAGCCUUACGGAGCAACGCGGCGUGAGUGACGAAGGUCUUCGGAGCGUAAAACCCUGUUAUGAGGGAAGAACAAAUGUGUAAGGAACUAUGGACGGCGUGACGGUACCUAAUCAGAAAGCCACGGCUAACUACGUG
rnacentral:rRNA from 1 species